GUUUGAUCCUGGCUCAGGAUGAACGCUAGCGGCAGGCCUAACACAUGCAAGUCGAACGGUAACAGGAAUUAGCUUGCUAAUUUGCUGACGAGUGGCGCACGGGUGCGUAACGCGUAUACAAUCUACCUUUUGCUGAGGGAUAGCCCAGAGAAAUUUGGAUUAAUACCUCAUGGUAUUAUUGAUAGGCAUCUAUUAAUAAUUAAAGGUUACGGCAAAAGAUGAGUAUGCGUCCCAUUAGCUAGUUGGUGAAGUAACGGUUCACCAAGGCAACGAUGGGUAGGGGUCCUGAGAGGGAGAUCCCCCACACUGGUACUGAGACACGGACCAGACUCCUACGGGAGGCAGCAGUGAGGAAUAUUGGACAAUGGAGGCAAGUCUGAUCCAGCCAUGCCGCGUGCAGGAAGACUGCCCUAUGGGUUGUAAACUGCUUUUAUACAGGAAGAAUAAGCCUUACGUGUAAGGUGAUGACGGUACUGUAAGAAUAAGGACCGGCUAACUCCGUGCCAGCAGCCGCGGUAAUACGGAGGGUCCGAGCGUUAUCCGGAAUUAUUGGGUUUAAAGGGUCCGUAGGCGGAUGAUUAAGUCAGGGGUGAAAGUUUGCAGCUCAACUGUAAAAUUGCCUUUGAUACUGGUCAUCUUGAGUUGUAUUGAAGUAGGCGGAAUAUGUAGUGUAGCGGUGAAAUGCAUAGAUAUUACAUAGAACACCAAUUGCGAAGGCAGCUUACUAAGUACUAACUGACGCUGAUGGACGAAAGCGUGGGUAGCGAACAGGAUUAGAUACCCUGGUAGUCCACGC
rnacentral:rRNA from 1 species